UACGUAGGGUGCGAGCGUUGUCCGGAAUUAUUGGGCGUAAAGGGCUCGUAGGCGGUUUGUCGCGUCGGGAGUGAAAACACACAGCUUAACUGUGUGCUUGCUUCCGAUACGGGCAGACUAGAGGUAUGCAGGGGAGAACGGAAUUCCUGGUGUAGCGGUGAAAUGCGCAGAUAUCAGGAGGAACACCCGUGGCGAAGGCGGUUCUCUGGGACGUACUGACGCUGAGAC
rnacentral:rRNA from 1 species